UUUUGUUUGUGGUCUUUCUGUUUCUAGGUGGAAGCUGAAUUAGUGAGGAUGACUCCUGCUCCUGUCAUCUCUAAGCUCCUCACACAUCUUUACCUGCACAUGAGGAAAAUCACUCCUGUAGAAUGCAGAUGUUCAGAGGGAGAUGAUGCCACAUCUGGUCCAGCCGAUGGAAGGUCUUGAAGUUCUCUGACUGGCCUCGACUGAAGAUGGUCGUCUCACUGGAUUUAAGGUUCAGAAGCUCAGUAACAAACUCUACCAAUGAGCCAACAGGGAAGCUUUAGGUUUAUUAAAUGUUGCUAUGAAGGCAUCGCUGUUUUUCUUUGUGAAUGCAAUGUGCUCCAACUGAAACUUGAAUUAGAACUUAGAAGUAAAUCCGUCCAUCUGAAAGGAUUUAGUUGAAUUAAUAACCUCAUAACAUUCUAAUUUUUAUUCCAGUCUUGGUUGAAAAUAGAAUCUCUGUAUUGAUUCAGGUAAAAACUGAACUUCACAGCAUGUUGGAGCAAAACAACCAGAUGAAAACUGUGAUGGUGUUGGAUUGUCAGACCGUAAUGUUGCAGCUCAAAGCAGCUUUUCUAGCUCAGUUCAUUCUGACAUUCAGCUAUGAAUCAACACAGCAGAUGGUGAUCCAUGCUGUGGAAGUCUCACAUCUCCUGAUUUAAUGGAGCUGCUUUGCACUUUUUACACUGUUUAUUCACCAACACUUUAUUUAAUAAAAGUCCCAUCUAGUUUUUAUGAGGAAUGUGAUGUUUUAAUUUCUCUGUGAAUAACUGCAGUCUAAUGCAACAGCUGGAGUUGUAACAUCUGUCCUGAUAUUGAUCAUGAUGUAUUGAUCAGAAUACUUAUGGUUAGCAGUCAUCCCUGAAGUUUUACAUUAAAAUCUUUACUUGUGUUGUGAACUUUGGUAAGAAGCAGAAACGUUAGCAUUGCCAUGGAUACAUGAGUGUUAAAUUCUCUCCAUGUUUCCAUUUUGGGAAAUGCAGUCCAGUUCCAGAAUGUGGAGGAAUUUAGUCUCACAAUCACAGACAACAAAUAUUAUCUGAAAGUCGGGUUAUUGUUGUUUAUCAGCACAAUACAAAAAGAUUCAUGUUAGACAUAUUCCAGUUAAGACUCCAGAAUAUCACGAUUUAUGUAAAUUUACCUCAAUAAUUUGAAUGGUCAGGUUAAGAUUGUACAGUGAUAUUUAUUAUGUAAGUUUAGCUGAUUAAAGUUUAUGACUCUGCACUAAAAUAUUAUUUAAAUUGACAUUAUUAUAAUAUUUAGGGUCAGACCCUACAGUGUUGAGAUUAAGAAAUCAAAUAUUCUAUAAAAUGUAAAUACACUGAACUCAUUUGGAUAUAUUUAAGUGAGACUACAAUAUUAUUUGACACAAAUCUAUUUAAAUCAAAAUUUUAAUAAUUUUCACGCCAAACAUUUACUGGACUGAUUUAAAUAUUAAAAUCACUCCUUUCUAAUCCUCUGCUGUACGUUCAAACCUGAGGCCUUAAAUAGAAACACACAAGUAUCUGUUUGAAGGAACUUCUGCAGAGUCCUGGUUCCAGAACAUGAUGAUAGAAUUAUAGACAAACUUUAACAAAAGCUGCCUGAGAGUUUACAGGUUUUUAUGUUGGAUUUCUUCAGUAAUUUAAUAAGCGUUAUCAGCAAUAAUCAAGUGUUCAUUUGAUGAACUUCAUUUCCUAAAACAUCCAGAAUUGGAGCUCAUGUCUACUACUACUUUUAAGACCAGGCUUAAAACCUUCCUUUUCGACAAAGCUUAUAGUUAGGGCUGACUGGGGGACCCUGACGGGGUGAGCUGGUGUUUUCAUUUGCACAACUGACUUCCCCUCUUGACGUCCCUUUAGUUUGCCCCUAGUUAUGCUGCUAUAGGCCUAGGCUGCUGGGGAACCUCUCUGGAUGCACUGAGCCCUUCUCUAACUACCUAUGUAUUUACUACAUAUACCAUUAUUGCAUUACAUUCACUCUGUUUCUUUCUGUGUCCUUUCUCCGAGUGUCCCUGGUCCCAGAGCUGGAUGCUGGAUGCUUCAGAUGUGUGGCUGUGUUUUAUGGUCCUUGUGUCCCACCCCCCCACCUCUCUAUCUCUACCCCUCUAUCUGUAUCCCUCUAUCUCUACCUCUACCCCUCUAUCUCUACCUCUCUACUUCUUCUGUCCCUCUCAACCCGCCCGGCCAGCAGGCAGAUGGGUCCCCCCACAUUAGAGCCGGGUUCUGCUCGAGGUUUUUUUCCCUGUUAAAAGGGUGUUUUCCUUGCCACUGUCGCCUUUUGGCUUGCUCUGGGGGUCAGGCAUAUGGGUUCUGUAAAGCGUCUCGAGACAAUUUGACUGUAAUUGGCGCUAUAUAAAUAAAAUUGAAUUGAAAAUUGAAUUGAAUGUCUUUGGCAGCUGUAAAGUUUCUGCUCCUUCAGAGUUCACAACACAAUGAAUUAAUUCCUAAAACACUCUUAAUGCUGGAGAGCAUUUGUGAUGCUGAAGCAGUGACCAGUUUUUCUGUUUCUUCUCUGGAGAUACACAAUGAGGGACGUCUGCAGAGACUGAGAAAGAGUCUCACCACAUCCUGACAUGAGGAAAAAGACUUUAUUGAAGACUACAAUGAGAAAAACUAUCAGACAGCAGACGGCAUGCAUUCAAGUCUGUAGCUGCUGAAUUCAUGGAUGAAUCAUCUGGCACUAGAGAGGAAGACCAUCAAACAUCCACAUCAGCUGAUGGAGGUCCAAGAGUCUCACCGAACAACCAACCUACAGAGUGAAGACGUCGAAUCUGAUUGGACGGCCUCCUGUUCAGCCACAUUUUAGGCUGUUAGAUUGUUCCAGAUAAGACGAGUACAAGAUUCUUCAGAGCCGUUCUACCACGAGCCUGACAGGAAGAACUCCAACAGCUACUGAAUGUUCCUGUGGUCCCCUCAAGGCUACAGGAGGAGCCCUACGAGGACGAGAAGGUCCACCUGAUGGUGGCCAGUCGCUGCGGUUCAAAGCCAACACCGACUACGUGAACUUCUACUGGACCACACGGAGGCCUUCAAACCGGACCAACAAGUUCACCGAC